rnacentral:snRNA from 1 species
UGAUGUGAGGGUGGUCUGGCUUCAGCUUCUGUCCCCCACUGCUCAUCAGGGUUGAUUCACCUGGUCUGGCUGGCUAGAUCUGGACAGUUGUCCCCCUCCUCCCUCACUGGUCCACAUCUCAUUCUAAGAGGACUCCCAUCCCUGGGAGAGAACCAUUCUUUGGUCAAGAGGGUGUGAGUACCUGCACUCCCCUUCACAGAAGCUCGGAGGAUCUGACUGUCGUCACGCUAACCCAGGCAUUGAUUGAUUUAUGCAUCACUCCUGGUAUUA